rnacentral:misc_RNA from 1 species
AACUUUUGACAAUGGAUCACUUGGCUCUCCUAUCGAUGAAGAACGCAGCGAAAUGCGAUAAGUAAUGUGAAUUGCAGAAUUCAGUGAAUCAUCGAAUCUUUGAACGCACCUUGCGCCCUUUGGUAUUCCGAAGGGCAUGCCUGUUUGAGUGUCAUUAAAUUAUCAACCUUGCUCGCUUUUACCGGCUUGAGUUAGGCUUGGAUGUGAGGGCUUUGCUGGCUUCCUUCAGUGGAUGGUCUGCUCCCUUUAAAUGCAUUAGUGGGAUCUCUUGUGGACCGUCACUUGGUGUGAUAAUUAUCUAUGCCUUUUGACUUUGAAGCAAACUAAUGGGAACCUGCUUAUAACCGUCUUCGGACAAUCUAUUGACAUUUUGACCUCAAAUCAGGUAGGACUACCCGCUGAACUUAAGCAUAUCAAUAAGCGGAGGCU